UACGUAGGGGGCAAGCGUUAUCCGGAUUUACUGGGUGUAAAGGGAGCGUAGACGGCAUAGCAAGUCUGAAGUGAAAGCCCGUGGCUCAACCGCGGAACUGCUUUGGAAACUGUUAAGCUGGAGUACUGGAGAGGCAAGCGGAAUUCCUAGUGUAGCGGUGAAAUGCGUAGAUAUUAGGAGGAACACCAGUGGCGAAGGCGGCUUGCUGGACAGAGACUGACGUUGAGGCUCGAAAGCAUGGGGAGCAAACAGG
rnacentral:rRNA from 1 species